AGUGAACGCUGGCGGCAGGCCUAACACAUGCAAGUCGAACGGCAGCAUCAAGAGAGCUUGCUCUCUUGGAUGGCGAGUGGCGGACGGGUGAGGAACACAUCGGAAUCUGCCUAUUUGUGGGGGAUAACGUAGGGAAACUUACGCUAAUACCGCAUACGACCUACGGGUGAAAGCGGAGGACCUUCGGGCUUCGCGCAGAUAGAUGAGCCGAUGUCGGAUUAGCUAGUUGGCGGGGUAAUGGCCCACCAAGGCGACGAUCCGUAACUGGUCUGAGAGGAUGAUCAGUCACACUGGAACUGAGACACGGUCCAGACUCCUACGGGAGGCAGCAGUGGGGAAUAUUGGACAAUGGGCGCAAGCCUGAUCCAGCCAUGCCGCGUGGGUGAAGAAGGCCUUCGGGUUGUAAAGCCCUUUUGUUGGGAAAGAAAAGCAGUCGGUUAAUACCCGGCUGUCAUGACGGUACCCAAAGAAUAAGCACCGGCUAACUUCGUGCCAGCAGCCGCUGUAACAC
rnacentral:rRNA from 1 species